rnacentral:lncRNA from 1 species
UUAAGUGUCGUAGUUAGAGUGUAUAUUAAGUUAGGAUUAGGAGGUAAUCCCACUAACUUAAUUAGGGGCCAAUUGGGCCCUUAAUAGACCCAAAUUGGGCCGAAUAGAAUAGCCCAUUCGGACCUAGAAUUUCUGGCCGACGGUGGCACCGCCCAGGAGACUCGGUCUCCUAGGGAUUCUGGGUGGUAGUUCCGCCCCUAUCAGGC